rnacentral:rRNA from 1 species
UCCUACGGGGCGCAGCAGUGAGGAAUAUUGGUCAAUGGUUGGGAGACUGAACCAGCCAAGCCGCGUGAGGGAUGAAGGUACAGAGUAUCGUAAACCUCUUUUGUCAGGGAACAAAGGCGGGGACGCGUCCCCGGAUGAGUGUACCUGAAGAAAAAGCAUCGGCUAACUCCGUGCCAGCAGCCGCGGUAAUACGGAGGAUGCGAGCGUUAUCCGGAUUUAUUGGGUUUAAAGGGUGCGCAGGCGGUCUGUUAAGUUAGCGGUCAAAGCCCGGGGCUCAACCCCGGCCCGCCGUUGAAACUGGCAGG